AUGGUUUGGGGACUUUUUCCUAUUGAUCCUCUUCCAGGUGAAGAUAAUUACUAUUUCUUCAACAAAGGUACAUAUAAAGUGGGUCGAAAAGGAUGUGAUGUCAUUGUCAACAAGGAUAAAGGAGUUUCAAGGAUACAUGCGGAGAUUUCAGUAGAUGAGAUGAUUUCUUUGGAUCAGUCGUUGAAGAAACCCUCAAAUAUUCUGUCUAAAGUACGUGUAAGAGACUGCUCAAAGUAUGGCACAUUCCUCAACAAGAAUCUGGAUUCGAAGGAGAAAGUUCACGAGUUUCCAAAUAAAGAAACGAUGCUUAAGGAUGGCGAUCUAGUUUCAUUUGGAACUGGUAAUGCAACUUACAGAUUCUCUUAUGUGUCAUUCAUAUUUUUCAUUUGCUCCCCGAAGCAUUCAAAGACAAUUCAACUUAUUACAAAGAAGGUUUCAUCAAUAGGUGCAAGUAUAACUAAGAAGUGGAGUUUGGACUGCUCACAUGUGCUUGUAGAUAACUCCUUUUCACUGAGUGAUGACCUGAUUGAUGCUAUUGUCGCUAGAAAACCCUUGGUUCAAUAUAGCUGGGUCGAGCUAAUUGCAGGAAAAAAUAUUUGCACCGAUAUUCCAAGCCACAAUUCUCAUGCACCAAAGUUGAUGCUGGAAGGAGUUUCCGUGAAAGUGGUAGAUCCUCAGUCUCGGGAGUGCUGUUUGAAAGGAUAUGCUUUUUUGCUGGAACCAGAAAACAAGUAUAAAUUUGAAGGCAGGUUUCAGUCCUUACUGGAAGUUGGGGGUGCCAUCAUUUCUUCUUCUGAAAUGGUCUCGGAGAAAAAUGGAAAUGACCGUGUGGUAUGUGUAGUUCCAGCUGGAUCAAGCAACUUUAAGUCUUUUUCUAACCAAAGUUCCUUGCCUUGGGUGAGUGAAAUAGAUCUGGUUUCUGCGGUUCUAUCUGGAUAUCUGGAUCCUAUUCUUAUCACAUCCCCACCGGUGCUCGUUACCUCUUCAUGCUCCACAGAUGAGACGGUGGUUGCAGACUCAGAUGCCGAAACAGAAAGUACAAAAUCAGAUCACAUCGCUGCUGCUUCCUGUUCAAUAGAAACUUCAGAGCAUGACAGCAAGGGAACAACUUCUAUACACAAGUUAGAAUCUGUUGAAUAUCACAACGAAGAUAAGUGUACUGUUCAAAUAGUGAUGCCUAGGGAUAAGGUAUCCACGAGGGACACAUCUCCCAGUUCAACAAAACAUAUUAAACACGAUGGAGGUCACAUACCACAUGAUGAUGCUACCAUCCAUGACCCUGAAGGUGGUUACAUCAGGCGCUUAGGUGUCGAAAGUGAUAAUACAGUGGUAAAAGAAGAUAUCACGGAUCAGCGGGAAAAUGGGAAGUUGGAUAUCAUAUAUAGCCAAGAUUUAAUUGUUAGAGAUUCUAUCAUGUCAUUACCAGUCUCUUCUUCAUCAAAUGGUGGUGUUACAAAUUUUAAGCGCUUCCGUAAGGCAAAUGCUCCAUCCCAGAAUAACUUUGCAAUCUUCAUUCCAUUCUCCAAGCAUCCAUACCAAGAAUCUGAGUGUAAGAAUGAGGAUGUUGCUGAAUCUAUUAAAGAAGAGAAAAAAAGAAAACAGAUGGAAGCAAUUGCCGAGGACCUGUUUAAAAGUGAAAAGGGAAAAAAACGUGGUGUUACUGGUCCCCUGCAUGGGUUGUUUGCUCGUAGAUAAUAUGUGUUUUAGGGUUAGUGAACUGAACUGAAGAGCUUUAUAGAGGAUCAUUGGAAUUGGCUCAACUGCAAUUUUACAUGCAUGAUGAUUAGCUGCCUACAAUAUACCAAAGAUAUGCAGAUGUACUGGAUCAACCAUCUAAGACAUUUUGUUGGUAUUACUAGUUUCUUAGCAAACACUGUAGAUAACAUCCUCCUUUUCGUUUCUCCUUGUAUGAAGAUGGGGAAGUCAUCAAUUUCUUCAGGAUGAAUUCUGUUAAGCUAUUGUAUUGGGUCAUUCUUGAAACUAAUUUUUUCUUUCUUGUUUCUUCACAUGUUCCUUGAUUUGUUUUUCAUUCUUAAUGCUAUGACUCAUUUAUGUU